rnacentral:tRNA from 1 species
GUCUCAGUAGGCAGUGGUUAGCGCACUGCCCCUGCUAGGCGCGAGACGCGGGUUCGAAUCACGCCUGAGAUG